GGGUGUGAUCAUACCAGCGUUAAUGCACCUGAUCCCAUCAGAACUCCACAGUUAAGUGCGCUUGGGCCACAGUAGUACUGGGAUGGGUGACCUCCCGGGAAGUCGUGGUGUUGCACCCU
rfam:Picea glauca, whole genome shotgun sequence.